UUUAGUUAAAAAAAAACAGAUUUAAGACUUGUCUUGUGUAGCAAUUCAGAAGGAGUGUAUAUUUUCUUAAUUGCUUUGAAUCGGGAUAAGAAUAAGCAUUUACAUUAAAAUUUUAUGACUCCCAGUAGUUAGGAUAUAGCGGUUUGGAUGAUGGAUGGAUGGAUAUAAAAAAUAGACCACGUUCAAAUUAGAUUAAGUACGGCGGAGGCUCAUUAAUACUUUCCUUAAUUGUUUAGGUUAAUAAAACGGAAGCGUAUUAGGGCCAAGGUGAAAAAACAAAAUAUGGACACAGUGAAGAAAAAAAAAAUUAUGUGGAGAUUAAAGUCUUUAUUCUCGACAUUUCCACAUCAAACCCUUGUUUUUUUCACUCACAAGUUUAACUUCCGUAUGUACGAUUGGGACUUGCGAAAACCGAAGAAAACUACGGAUAGAGCACAAACAAGUCUGUCUGGGAAUAAACUAAACGAUUAAAGGUCUACUGCAGCUGUAAAGUUUGAUCUCCCUGACGUGAAACAUGUCUAUAAUCGAGUUUCUUAGAGGAAGAGGUGUCUCCCAGGAUGUCCUGACUCUAACUGAGGAACAAAAGAUUGACCGAGGUGUUGUCUUGCUCAUGGAUGAUUCAACACUGUCCAAUUACAUUCCCUCCUAUGGAGACAGACUUUCACUUUUCAAUUUCUGCAAAAAUCAAAAUACCACCACAAUAUGAAAAUCUAGCCUUCUUCAGAAGCUCCGUGACAAAAUGAAGUUAAGGAUGGAAGACAAUGAAAGUGAAGAGACACCUCAACAUUCUCAGUCCCGUUCUCGACCAAAGCUAAAAACACGCACCACAGAGUUAGGGUGGAUACACAGUAACAAGGGGGAAACUAAACAGGUCAGAGCAAAACAAGGCGGGGGCACACCAUGCCAAUCAGUGCUGGAUUCACUGAAAUCCUGAAAGAGGCAAGGGGUCUUAUUGUCCCUGAUGGUGUCUCAAGCAAAGGGCAUGGAUCCGAAUUCAAAUUUGAUAUAUGGGACUUUAAACAAACGUCACUUGAUCAUCACGUCACAAUUGGUUUAAUAUAUGACACCGUCAAACUACAAAAGCUGCGUUUCUACCUUGCCACAAAAACAAAGGAGCAGUCAGAUGUUGAAGCCAGUACUAGUGAUCUUGAGGACUGUGGUGAUUCCAGGCAGACUACUACUGAGGAUUGUGACCCUCAGGAUGUGCCUGAUGUUUUUAUUGUUUCUGAUCAAAACCAAGUCAGUCCAAAUCACACACUCAGCACAGAUCAAUAUGACAUCCAUUAUCAGAUGAUGGAGGAAAGUGAAAUUGUUUACCAAAUACAUGCUGAUGCUUCUGUAGAUAAUGUGUCUGAUCCUGAAAUGACAUUUGGCUCAAGUACAGAUCUUCAAGAUCACCUAAAUGACACAGAAAUGUAUGAGGCUGAAUCCAAUGAGAACAUGAAACAGUCAAAAAUAAUAACUAUAUGCUAUGCACACAGCCUCAGUGACAUGACUGAAUCCUUUUCUGACCCAGAGACUUUGACCAGACCACGUGACACUGGACAGGUUAACUCUUUAGCGGCUGGUUGUGGAUCAGGGCUUGUUAGAGACGUGUACAGUUCUUUGUGGGAGGAAUUCUAUGAUCGGUGCACAAUUGGAACAACAAGCUAUUGCCCACAUUUUCUAGAGAGGACACAAAGAUUGCAAAUUCAUUCCAAUCAAGCUUGCACUUCCCUUUCUGGAGGAGGUUCUAUUUGGAAAGUUUUACAGCGACCUAAUUGAAAACGUUUUGCAGUUUAUAAGUGUCCAAGAGCAAGAAAUCCUCAAACAAGCUUUGAAAGAUUUCUCCUCUGUUGAGCUUGAUGACAUUUUAGAUGUUCUAGAUAAUUAUGAGUGUAGAAAAAGGGCUUCCAGCAGUUCUCAGGGAGAUUGCAUAUAAAGAUCUUGUACAGAGGCCAAUGUUUGUGAAAGACUACUGGAGGGACAUUAUCCAGCAUCACAUUGCACUUAAUUAUGACCAGUUGACCAAAAUGUACACUGAUCUUAAACCAAAAUCCAAAAAGUGUCAAAGAUGUUGAAAUUCCUAGUGAUAAUGACACCAAAACAUAAAGAGAUUAAGCAUCAUCUUAGAAGGUAUAUCAGGGAAGUAGACCAAGUAAAACUUUCUAAGUUUUUGAGGUUUUGUACAGGGUCAGAUUUGAUUGUGUCAGAAAACAUCACUGUCGCCUUUGUGCCGAUGUCUUCUUCUACAAGGCGGCCAAUAGGACACACAUGUGAGAUGAUCCUGCAGCUGUCUGACAGUUAUGACAAUUUUCCAGACUUUUGUGCUGAAUUCAACGAUGUCCUAGAGAGUCACAUUUGGGUGAUGGACAUUGUGUAGACACCCAAUUAUUCUGUGGUAAAACCUUUGUCAAUAAAGCAGUUUGAAUAGAGUUUGCACAUAAGGAACUUGUGCAGAACUGAAUUAGGAUCGGACAACCAAAGUAUACAUAGAUUUAAGUCAAAAGAAUGUCAAAAAUAAAAGUCUUGGUUAUUAAAAUUCCUAGACAGAGUAUAACAACAAAACAAAAUGAGAUUGAGCAGAAGUUCAGAAGUUACACUAAGAAAAAAUAUAAAGAAAACCUUGUUUUGCAGAGGUUCAGAUGUGAAUUUGGCAGAUAAUGCUACUGUUGUGUUUAAAUUUGUUUUCACUGCACUGAGUAUGUUGGACAUGUGGGCUGAUCCUUCAGCGAGAAGAUAACGAUUCAAAGUACUCAGAGUUCCUUCUGUGCUUUAUACCAGCGUAAGAAAUGGUCUUUGUGUAAAUAAAGUGGAUACUCUUCACCCCCUUUUCUACCUGGAAUAAUUCUGCGCCCCCUGCAUUAUAUAAAAUAGAUGAGAAUAACCCACAAUACAACUAACAAAGCUAUGAUACUCGUGCAGUGUCGCAAUAUCCUUUCAUUUUUACUUCCAUUAGAUUUGCAUGUGUUCGGCUAACUUUGAUGAAAUAUUUGCAAUUUA